AAUGUUCAUUUCAAGUAAUAAAAAGUAUUCCCAGUAAUACUAGGCGUUCCCUGCCAUCGGGCACAAGUUAAUUAGAUUUGACCUCAUGCUUCACAGGACAAUCAAAAUGCCUUGAAAUGAUAUUAUCAGCUGCUUCAAUUGUUUAUUAUACUCCAUGCUCAAGGAAGUCACGAAUAACUGAGGAAAGAAAAGCAUAGAACAUUAUUGCAAACCACAGGCAUUGUAUUCCAGAAUGUAUUGUAUAUAUUCUAAAAAGAAAACAUAGUCAAAGCAAGGUCAUUGGAAGGACUGGUUUCUUUGGAAUAGUCAGUCGGAAAUGGUGAAGUUGAAUUGCUGGAAGAAGAGGGCCCUGUGAGCCUGAUGUGGGUUGAGCUGGUGGGUCCGUUGAAUGGAUAUCAGUUUCUAGUGGACAGUCCAAAUCAGGAAGGGCUUGGUGUUUCCAACAGCCAAUGUCUCCAUUCCUACAAGACCAAUUAAAUGGUCAGACCAGAUCAUUCAACUCACUGGAUUUAAAGGAUAUGAAAGAAUCGCGUGACUAGUAUUCUGCAGAUGCUGGAAAUUCAAGCAACACACAUCAAAGUUGCUGGUGAACGCAGCAGGCCAGGCAGCAUCUCUAGGAAGAGGUACAGUCGACGUUUCAGGCUGAGAACCUUCGUCAGGACUAACUUAACAUUGCCCUUGCGUUCCUCUAAAUUGUUGCUCCAUAUUCCAGCAACUCUUGUGUCUCCAUGUUAUUAAUGAGGUCUUUUAUUUUAAUGUUAUAAUUCCAUUUUAAAGUAUUGCCUCCUUUUUGUUUAUUGAGUUUCUAUUAAAAGUUCCAUGCUAAGCAUGCUUGGUCCUUAUUUCGCAUUGGCUAUAUUCAAGUGGUUGUUAAAGAUAAAAUGCCAUAUUUUCACUGAUCUAUGAAUAGUGCUUUCAGUAUGCUGAGUUUUAUUCCCAAAAAUCAGAAGCACACAA